UAUUUUAUACUUAUUUUUAUUAAAAUCUUUUUUUAACAAGCAAAAAAUUAUUUCUUGAAUUAAUUAAAAAGGUAACAAAACGUUUGAAAUCCCUACAAUCGGGAAAAAGUUGAAAUACAAAGUUGAAAAAAAUCUCAUUUCAGAAAAAAAUAACAAAGAGAAGAAAAAAAAUAAAAGCUUUGAUAUUGGCAUAGGAAAACGAGGACUACGUAGAGAAGAGAGUGAAAAUGUCUUGGCUCCAUGAUACAGGCGAAGAAGCCCCUGUCAAUGGCAGGAGGCAGAAAGUGAAUUUUUGUUGAUGAAGAAAAUGAUGGUGGCUGUUUUUUUGGCUAAAGUGUUGCCGCAUGUAUCAUUUAGAAAGUGGAUUUUUGUUGAUGAAGAAAAUGAUGGUGGUUGUUUUUGGUUGAAGUGUUGCCGCAUGUAUCAUUUAGAAAGUGGAUAGCUGCUUGUGUAACUUGAAUGGUAUUUCAAUGAUAGUGUUUGUAUUGUAGCUGAUUUUUGAUGUGUUCAUUUCAAUUGAAGUCAACAAGUUGUAUCAUUGAGUUUGUCAUGAAAGUAAAAUAAUUGCUAGA